rnacentral:tRNA from 1 species
GCGGGGGUAGCAAAGCCUGGUCAAAUGCGCAGGACUUAAGAUCCUGUCUCUUAGUGAGUUCGAGGGUUCAAAUCCCUUCCCCCGCA